CCUACGGGUGGCAGCAGUGGGGAAUAUUGGACAAUGGGCGAAAGCCUGAUCCAGCCAUGCCGCGUGUGUGAAGAAGGCCUUCGGGUUGUAAAGCACUUUCAGUGGGGAAGAAAGCCUUGGGGCUAAUACCCUCGAGGAAGGACAUCACCCACAGAAGAAGCACCGGCUAACUCCGUGCCAGCAGCCGCGGUAAUACGGAGGGUGCGAGCGUUAAUCGGAAUUACUGGGCGUAAAGCGCGCGUAGGCGGUCUGAUAAGCCGGUUGUGAAAGCCCCGGGCUCAACCUGGGAACGGCAUCCGGAACUGUCAGGCUAGAGUGCAGUAGAGGAAGGUAGAAUUCCCGGUGUAGCAGUGAAAUGCGUAGAGAUCGGGAGGAAUACCGGUGGCGAAGGCAGCCGUCUGGACUGACACUGACGCUGAUGUGCGAAAGCGUGGGUAGCAAACAGGAUUAGAUACCCUGGUAGUC
rnacentral:rRNA from 1 species